UACGGAGGGUGCGAGCGUUAUCCGGAAUUACUGGGCUUAAAGGGUGCGUAGGCGGCUUGUUAAGUCAGGAGUGAAAGUUUGCGGCUCAACCGUAAAAUUGCUUUUGAUACUGGCAGGCUAGAAUUAGGAUGAGGUUAGCGGAAUGUGGCAUGUAGCGGUGAAAUGCAUAGAUAUGCCAUAGAACACCAAUUGCGAAGGCAGCUGGCUAGACCUAUAUUGACGCUGAGGCACGAAAGCGUGGGGAGCGAACAGG
rnacentral:rRNA from 1 species